rnacentral:rRNA from 1 species
GACGAACGCUGGCGGCGUGCCUAAUACAUGCAAGUUGAGCGCUGAAGGUUGGUACUUGUACCAACUGGAUGAGCAGCGAACGGGUGAGUAACGCGUGGGGAAUCUGCCUUUAAGCGGGGGACAACAUUUGGAAACGAAUGCUAAUACCGCAUAAAAACUUUAAACACAAGUUUUAAGUUUGAAAGAUGCAAUUGCAUCACUCAAAGAUGAUCCCGCGUUGUAUUAGCUAGUUGGUGAGGUAAAGGCUCACCAAGGCGAUGAUACAUAGCCGACCUGAGAGGGUGAUCGGCCACAUUGGGACUGAGACACGGCCCAAACUCCUACGGGAGGCAGCAGUAGGGAAUCUUCGGCAAUAGACGAAAGUCUGACCGAGCAACGCCGCGUGAGUGAAGAAGGUUUUCGGAUCGUAAAACUCUGUUGGUAGAGAAGAACGUUGGUGAGAGUGGAAAGCUCAUCAAGUGACGGUAACUACCCAGAAAGGGACGGCUAACUACGUG